UAGGGGGCAAGCGUUAUCCGGAUUUACUGGGUGUAAAGGGAGCGUAGGUGGCAAGGCAAGUCAGAUGUGAAAGCCCGGGGCUCAACCACGGUACUGCAUUUGAAACUGUCUAGCUAGAGUGCAGGAGAGGUAAGUGGAAUUCCUAGUGUAGCGGUGAAAUGCGUAGAUAUUAGGAGGAACACCAGUGGCGAAGGCGGCUUACUGGACUGUAACUGACACUGAGGCUCGAAAGCGUGGGGAGCA
rnacentral:rRNA from 1 species